CUUUAAAAAAAAAAUCAAGCCUGAGCCUGCAGGGAGCUCUCGUAAACUGUGCCCUAGAAUCUGCCCUACUUGAAACCAGGAGGCUGGUUUUCUUAAUUCUGCUCUAGUCAGUCACUGCCUGGGGGCUGCCUGGACACUUCUGGGCAAGAAAAGUUUGGCAACUCCUGUCACAUAAAGGCAUACCUCUACGAAAGAUCACAAGUAUAGUUCUUGGCAGCAGCACCCACAGCCACUGGAAGAUGGGCACAUUUGCCCAGUAAAUGUGAUCAAUUCCACAGGUCUGAGUCAGGCAAAAAUAGUAUCUGCUACAGCUCAUGAUUCAGAGGCUGUGCACAGAAAUCCAGCUUUGGUCUGAACCAGCAUGGAAUGAAUAGGGUUGGAUUCCAUUUCUCUUACUCUAGAUAAUUGGAUAAUUGACCUUAAAACUCUCAUUUUAUUUUAUUUAUUUUAGGGCCACACCAAUGGCAUAUGGAGGUUCCCAGGCUAGGGGUCGAAUCAGAGCUGCAACCUCUGGCCUAUGCCACAGCCACAUCGGAUCCAAGCCAUUUCUGUGACCCAUAUCACAGCUCAUGGCAACGAUGAAUCCUUAACCCACUGAGCAAGGCCAGGGAUCGAACCCGCAACCUCAUGGUUCAUAGUGGGAUUCGUUAACCACUGAGCCACAACAGGAACUGUGAAUGACAAAAUUUUUCAUCAAAAGCACUGCAAAAAAAAAAAAAAAAUCUCUUUUAAGUGACAUGUCUAGUUUUCUUGUUAUGUUGGCCUGAAAUUAACUAAGCACAGAAUAUACAAAGAUAUGGAGAAUAAUGUCCUUAAACUUAUUUUUAGGUCCAUUCAUGUUGUCAAAUGUGGCAAGAUUUCACUUUUUUAUUUUUAUUUAAUUAAAAAAAAUUUUUUAAUUAACUUUGGUUUUUAGGGCUGCACCUACAGCAUAUGGAAGUUCCCAGGCUCUGGGAUGAGUCAGAGCUAUAGCUGCUGGCCUAUGAUACAGCCACAGCAACUCAGGAUCCAAGCUGAGUCUACAGCCAACACCACAAAUCCAGUGGCAACACUGGAUCCUUAACCCACUGAAUGAGGCCAGGGAUCAAACCUGAAUCCUCAGGGAUACUAGUCAGAUUCAUUUCUGCUGAGCCAUGACAGGAACUCUAAAACUUUCAUUUUAAUAGUUUAAGUUUGUUUUGUUUCCCAUCCCAAACAUAAUUCUAUAUUACGCACACACACAUGAUAAAAUUGAGCAUCUACCGUGUUUCAGACAGUGUGAUAUAUCUUAGGGAGGAAGUAAAACAUUGGGCCCUGCCAUCAUUAGGCCUACUGUCUAGGCCUACUGUCUAGAAGAGGCAGCAGAAUAAAUAUGAAAAGAAACAAAUUAAAAACUGCAAAUGUUUACGGAAGAUAAGUGCUGUAUAAACAAUGGCAAUAAAUGGAUACUGAGUUGGAGACAAUGGAGGGGGGGAAACAUAUGAUCCAGAUCCAUGCUGAACAUGUGGUCAAAUUUCUAAAUCUUUAGCUCUGAAUGUAAUAUCAAUUAAGAUACCUUAUUUUUCCCCAUUAACAUCCUCCUUAACUUUAAUCUAGUGAUCUGUGAAGGCCUGGCAGAGUGGUAAACAUUCAAGCCAAGACCUGGAGGUUGAGCAGGAACCAGUCAUGCAAACACUCCUGGGGAGAGUGGUCCAGGUAGAGAACAAAGAAGUGGGAAAAAGUGGAUCUAUUCUGAUUAAUAAGAUGAGACGAGAGGAAAGGCCUGGAGACCUUCUACUCCAUUGCAGGGAUCCCUGAAGCACUGUCUGGGAGCUCCAUGCCUCCUCAGAACACCAUAAGAACCAUCAUACUUCUAGUCACAGAUUCUAAAACUGGAUUGAAGAAAGUAACUGACUUUCUGUUCAGUUACCCUCAAGGACCACCCAACCAUCAUUUCUCAUUCUUGGAUCUGUAUACACUUUUCCUCUCAUCUCUUUCUCUCUCAAGUACUUGGAGAAAGCGUGGGAGAGGGAGGGCCUGGCUGCUUCACAGUUCCAACUAGAGGGCCCAUUUUAGAGAUGCCAGCAGGGGAUGGCAUAUGAAUCAACAGCGUGUUCCCUGCACACCCCCACGGUCCAGAUGGCUGCACAUCACAGGAGCAGAGGGUGGCUCCUACGCAGAAUACUUCCCUGCCUGGGAACACGUGCCACACUUUAGGCCAUGAGGGAACACAUUGUGGUAGUGGUGGUGACAUUUUUACAGAAAAGGAGUCUUUCUUUUGCUUCAGACUUUCAUUUCAAGCAUCCAUCUGUAGUAAAACCUAUAGUGUAAGAUACUGAGGGCUCAUAGAAUUGGAAAGCACCAUAGAAACUAGCUAGCACAGCUUCUUACAAGAUAGGGGGUUUCAGAUGAAUGAGCCCAUGGCCAAUGCAUCCAGAAAACUGCCCUAUACACAGGUGAACUUAGCUUCCCCAGUGGAACUGACAAACAUUUGACUUCCAGGCAUCACAGAUGAAGCCUUUAAAAAACCACCAUCCAUGUAGUCAAUCAGAGUUUCGGGGUUUCAGAUGGUGAACAAAACCUGCUGGGUCUGCUUGCAAACAAACCCUAAACCUGCUCAAAAUCCUCACCAUGUAGUCUUUCUCUGCAGCAGAUUCUGUGAAACUCUAGAAUGUUACAUUGCAUUUGCCUUUGUUAUUUUAUUAAAACUAGUGGAAAAACUGAAGCAAAAGGACUGACAUAAAUGACAACAAGCACAACAAGCCAAAGAAAUGAAACAGGUGGCACUAGUGCACAGCUCAAAAUGGCUUAUCUUUAGCAUGAAUCUAACACUUUAGCCAAGCAACUUAACCUGUUAAGUAUGAGGCUGCAUAACAAAAUUAUUAAUACCAUCAGAGACACCAAAUGACCGUGUCUAAAAAAAUAAAAUUUGAGAUUUCAGAACUUUUUUCACAUCUCCAGGAACAAUGGCCUCCUCCUCCUGUAAAAUAUAUAAAUGUAAUAACUGAUUUUUGGACAUCUGAAUUACAAACCACUUCUGCCUUUAUCAUCAACCAGCUGUGAAACAUCCGAUAGGAUGCUAGACCUCUCUGUGCCUCACAGUCUCAUCUGUAAAUAGCAACAAGGGCUGUACCCACCCCAUUUGUUAUGAAGAUGAAAUAAGUUAACAGGUAUAAAUUCUUGAACGUAGUUCAAUAAAUGCUGGAUAUUGAACAUUUAUUUAACAGUGUGACCUACUCCUCAUGACCAUCUGGAGUUCAGAGGGCAUUAAGACAAGCCAAAGCAGGAAGGGCAGGAAGCUGGGAAAGAGGCAUGCACCCUGGGAGGUGACAGGAAUGGUCCCAAGAAGAAGAUGCCUCUAGGAUGGCAGAUACUUCCUUGGACAAGUUUAACAGGCAAGAGGCAGCAUAGGCAGAAGGGUAGCGAUGGGUCACAAGUGGGGUUCAUUAACAGGCAGAGCUAGUCAAUGGGAGGCCCUGGCAGAGGCCUUGUCAAGCAAAUUGGCAGCAGGAGGAAACCCAGUAGC
rnacentral:lncRNA from 1 species